GACGAACGCUGGCGGCGUGCUUAACACAUGCAAGUCGAACGGAAAGGCCUCUUUCGGGGGGUACUCGAGUGGCGAACGGGUGGGUAACACGUGAGUAACCUGCCCUUGACUUUGGGAUAACUUCAGGAAACUGGGGCUAAUACCGGAUAGGAGCUCCUGCUGCAUGGUGGGGGUUGGAAAGUUUCGGCGGUUGGGGAUGGACUCGCGGCUUAUCAGCUUGUUGGUGGGGUAGUGGCUUACCAAGGCUUUGACGGGUAGCCGGCCUGAGAGGGUGACCGGCCACAUUGGGACUGAGAUACGGCCCAGACUCCUACGGGAGGCAGCAGUGGGGAAUAUUGCACAAUGGGCGGAAGCCUGAUGCAGCAACGCCGCGUGCGGGAUGACGGCCUUCGGGUUGUAAACCGCUUUCGCCUGUGACGAAGCGUGAGUGACGGUAAUGGGUAAAGAAGCACCGGCUAACUACGUG
rnacentral:rRNA from 1 species